GAGUUUGAUCCUGGCUCAGGACGAACGCUGGCGGCGUGCCUAAUACAUGCAAGUAGAACGCUGAAGAGAGGAGCUUGCUCUUCUUGGAUGAGUUGCGAACGGGUGAGUAACGCGUAGGUAACCUGCCUUGUAGCGGGGGAUAACUAUUGGAAACGAUAGCUAAUACCGCAUAACAAUAGGUGACACAUGUCAUUUAUUUGAAAGGGGCAAUUGCUCCACUACAAGAUGGACCUGCGUUGUAUUAGCUAGUAGGUGAGGUAACGGCUCACCUAGGCGACGAUACAUAGCCGACCUGAGAGGGUGAUCGGCCAUACUGGGACUGAGACACGGCCCAGACUCCUACGGGAGGCAGCAGUAGGGAAUCUUCGGCAAUGGGGGCAACCCUGACCGAGCAACGCCGCGUGAGUGAAGAAGGUUUUCGGAUCGUAAAGCUCUGUUGUAAGUCAAGAACGAGUGUGAGAGUGGAAAGUUCACACUGUGACGGUAGCUUACCAGAAAGGGACGGCUAACUACGUGCCAGCAGCCGCGGUAAUACGUAGGUCCCGAGCGUUGUCCGGAUUUAUUGGGCGUAAAGCGAGCGCAGGCGGUUUGAUAAGUCUGAAGUUAAAGGCUGUGGCUCAACCAUAGUUCGCUUUGGAAACUGUCAAACUUGAGUGCAGAAGGGGAGAGUGGAAUUCCAUGUGUAGCGGUGAAAUGCGUAGAUAUAUGGAGGAACACCGGUGGCGAAAGCGGCUCUCUGGUCUGUAACUGACGCUGAGGCUCGAAAGCGUGGGGAGCGAGCAGGAUUAGAUACCCUGGUAGUCCACGCCGUAAACGAUGAGUGCUAGGUGUUGGAUCCUUUCCGGGAUUCAGUGCCGCAGCUAACGCAUUAAGCACUCCGCCUGGGGAGUACGACCGCAAGGUUGAAACUCAAAGGAAUUGACGGGGGCCCGCACAAGCGGUGGAGCAUGUGGUUUAAUUCGAAGCAACGCGAAGAACCUUACCAGGUCUUGACAUCCCGAUGCUAUUUCUAGAGAUAGAAAGUUACUUCGGUACAUCGGUGACAGGUGGUGCAUGGUUGUCGUCAGCUCGUGUCGUGAGAUGUUGGGUUAAGUCCCGCAACGAGCGCAACCCCUAUUGUUAGUUGCCAUCAUUCAGUUGGGCACUCUAGCGAGACUGCCGGUAAUAAACCGGAGGAAGGUGGGGAUGACGUCAAAUCAUCAUGCCCCUUAUGACCUGGGCUACACACGUGCUACAAUGGUUGGUACAACGAGUUGCGAGUCGGUGACGGCAAGCUAAUCUCUUAAAGCCAAUCUCAGUUCGGAUUGUAGGCUGCAACUCGCCUACAUGAAGUCGGAAUCGCUAGUAAUCGCGGAUCAGCACGCCGCGGUGAAUACGUUCCCGGGCCUUGCACACACCGCCCGUC
rnacentral:rRNA from 1 species